rnacentral:rRNA from 1 species
UACGUAGGGUGCGAGCGUUGUCCGGAAUUAUUGGGCGUAAAGAGCUCGUAGGCGGUGUGUCACGUCGGCCGUGAAAACCUGGGGCUCAACUCUGGGCGUGCGGUCGAUACGGGCAUCACUUGAGUUCGGCAGGGGAGACUGGAAUUCCUGGUGUAGCGGUGAAAUGCGCAGAUAUCAGGAGGAACACCGGUGGCGAAGGCGGGUCUCUGGGCCGAUACUGACGCUGAGGCGCGAAAGCAUGGGUAGCGAACAGG